UACGUAGGGUGCGAGCGUUGUCCGGAAUUAUUGGGCGUAAAGAGCUCGUAGGCGGUUUGUCGCGUCUGCCGUGAAAGUCCGGGGCUCAACUCCGGAUCUGCGGUGGGUACGGGCAGACUAGAGUGAUGUAGGGGAGACUGGAAUUCUUGGUGUAGCAGUGAAAUGCGUGGAGAUCAAGAGGAACACUCGUGGCGAAAGCGAGCUACUGGACAAUAUCUGACGCUGAGGCUCGAAGGCCAGGGUAGCGAAAGGG
rnacentral:rRNA from 1 species